rnacentral:rRNA from 1 species
AUGCCGCGUGAGUGAAGAAGGCCUUCGGGUUGUAAAGCUCUUUCGGCUGGGAAGAAAUCGCAUCUCCUAAUACGGGGUGUGGAUGACGGUACCAGCAUAAGAAGCACCGGCUAACUACGUGCCAGCAGCCGCGGUAAUACGUAGGGUGCGAGCGUUAAUCGGAAUUACUGGGCGUAAAGCGUGCGCAGGCGGUUUCGUAAGACAGACGUGAAAUCCCCGGGCUCAACCUGGGAACUGCGUUUGUGACUGCGAGGCUAGAGUAUGGCAGAGGGGGGUGGAAUUCCACGUGUAGCAGUGAAAUGCGUAGAGAUGUGGAGGAACACCGAUGGCGAAGGCAGCCCCCUGGGCCAAUACUGACGCUCAUGCACGAAAGCGUGGGGAGCAAACAGGAUUAGAUACCCUGGUAGUCCACGCCCUAAACGAUGUCGACUAGUUGUUGGUGGGGUUAAACCCAUUAGUAACGUAGCUAACGCGUGAAGUCGACCGCCUGGGGAGUACGGCCGCAAGGUUA